rnacentral:sRNA from 1 species
AGAGAAAGACCCAGUCCAAAAUUC